AAGGGAGACCUAAUUCGGGUAGAAGACGAAAAAAUAGUAGUCGAAACCAAGAAUCAAUCCCAAAAGGUCGGAACGAGGUAUGUGGCUUUCAAACUAGGUUCUGGGUUCACAAAAGACCUGAAUCAGGAACAAGGGCUAUUAGCUCAGGUGGUUAGAGCGCACCCCUGAUAAGGGUGAGGUCCCUGGUUCGAGUCCAGGAUGGCCCACCUGCACAGGUGGCAAAAACAAGAGAAACGAGGAAUCAGCACCUUAUCUUACUUACAUAGUAAGAGAGAAUGCUGGCUCUGAGUAAAGAGUCCAGAGGAACCUUGAAAACUGCAUAGAGCUAGGUGAAAAAGCCAAAGAAGAAGACCGCAA
rnacentral:tRNA from 1 species